rnacentral:rRNA from 1 species
CCUACGGGGGGCAGCAGUGAGGAAUAUUGGUCAAUGGGCGCGAGCCUGAACCAGCCAAGUAGCGUGAAGGAUGACUGCCCUACGGGUUGUAAACUUCUUUUAUAAAGGAAUAAAGUCAGGCACGUGUGCCUUUAUGUAUGUACUUUAUGAAUAAGGAUCGGCUAACUCCGUGCCAGCAGCCGCGGUAAUACGGAGGAUCCGAGCGUUAUCCGGAUUUAUUGGGUUUAAAGGGAGCGUAGAUGGGUUGUUAAGUCAGUUGUGAAAGUUUGCGGCUCAACCGUAAAAUUGCAAUUGAUACUGGCAGUCUUGAGUACAGUUGAGGUAGGCGGAAUUCGUGGUGUAGCGGUGAAAUGCUCAGAUAUCACGAAGAACUCCGAUUGCGAAGGCAGCUUACUAAACUGCCACUGACAUUGAUGCUCGAAAGUGUGGGUAUCAAACAGGAUUAGAUACCCUUGUAGUC